GGUCUGUCAAGUCGGAUGUGAAAUCCCCGGGCUCAACCUGGGAACUGCAUUCGAAACUGGCAGGCUUGAGUCUUGUAGAGGGGGGUAGAAUUCCAGGUGUAGCGGUGAAAUGCGUAGAGAUCUGGAGGAAUACCGGUGGCGAAGGCGGCCCCCUGGACAAAGACUGACGCUCAGGUGCGAAAGCGUGGGGAGCAAACAGGAUUAGAUACCCUGGUAGUCCACGCCGUAAACGAUGUCUACUUGGAGGUUGUGCCCUUGAGGCGUGGCUUCCGGAGCUAACGCGUUAAGUAGACCGCCUGGGGAGUACGGCCGCAAGGUUAAAACUC
rnacentral:rRNA from 1 species